UACGGGGGGGGCAAGCGUUGUUCGGAAUUACUGGGCGUAAAGGGCUCGUAGGCGGCCAACUAAGUCAGACGUGAAAUCCCUCGGCUUAACCGGGGAACUGCGUCUGAUACUGGAUGGCUUGAGAUUGGGAGAGGGAUGCGGAAUUCCAGGUGUAGCGGUGAAAUGCGUAGAUAUCUGGAGGAACACCGGUGGCGAAGGCGGCAUCCUGGACCAACACUGACGCUGAGGAGCGAAAGCCAGGGGAGCAAACCGG
rnacentral:rRNA from 1 species